rnacentral:rRNA from 1 species
AGAGUUUGAUCAUGGCUCAGGAUGAACGCUAGCGGGAGGCUUAACACAUGCAAGCCGAGGGGUAUUCAGUUGCUUGCAACUGAAGAGACCGGCGCACGGGUGAGUAACGCGUAUGUAACUUGCCUCAUUCAACGGGAUAGCCCGGGGAAACCCGGAUUAAUAUCGUAUAACAGCCGGACAGGCAUCUGUUUGGUUUGAAAGAUUCAUCGGAAUGAGAUAGACAUGCGUAUGAUUAGUUAGUUGGCGGGGUAACGGCCCACCAAGACGAUGAUCAUUAGGGGUCCUGAGAGGGUGAUCCCCCACACUGGUACUGAGACACGGACCAGACUCCUACGGGAGGCAGCAGUGAGGAAUAUUGGACAAUGGGUGAGAGCCUGAUCCAGCCAUCCCGCGUGCAGGAAGACGGCCUUAUGGGUUGUAAACUGCUUUUAUACAGGAAUAAACCAUCUUACGAGUAGGGUGUUGAAGGUACUGUAUGAAUAAGCACCGGCUAACUCCGUGCCAGCAGCCGCGGUAAUACGGAGGGUGCAAGCGUUAUCCGGAUUUAUUGGGUUUAAAGGGUCCGCAGGCGGGUCUGUAAGUCAGGGGUGAAAUCCGGCAGCUUAACUGUCGAACUGCCUUUGAUACUGCAGGUCUUGAGUGGGAAUGAAGCAGCUGGAAUGUGUGGUGUAGCGGUGAAAUGCAUAGAUAUCACACAGAACACCGAUAGCGAAGGCAGGUUGCUAAUUCUCAACUGACGCUGAGGGACGAAAGCGUGGGGAGCGAACAGGAUUAGAUACCCUGGUAGUCCACGCCGUAAACGAUGGAUACUGUCUGUUGGUUCGUAAGGAUCAGUGGAUAAGCGAAAGUGAUAAGUAUCCCACCUGGGGAGUACGUUCGCAAGAAUGAAACUCAAAGGAAUUGACGGGGGCCCGCACAAGCGGUGGAACAUGGGGUUUAAUUCGAUGAUACGCGAGGAACCUUAC